UAAAAGUUUUAGGGCUAUAAUCACUUUCCACUACUUCCCUUAUCAAUUUUCUUCCUUCAGGAAAGAGACCACCUUCAUUCAGAAACCAACCAUCUCUCUCUCUCUCAGAUCUUUGAAUGGGGUUGCUGUGGAUGGUCUGCUAGCUAGUUUUUGGUGAAAAUCCAACUGGGUUUCUGCUUGAUUGCUGAGAAAUUAUAGGAAAAGAAAUUAGAACUUGGGAGUUUUUGACAGUAAAGAAAAUAAAGAUCCGAUAAGACAUGGCUACUGAUGGGCCAAGCUGGGCUGAUCAAUGGGGUGCAGGAGGGAUAGGAGCCAUGGAAGAUGAUGAUGAGAAAACCAAGAAGGACAGCAGCAGCAGCAAGAAGAAGACAGAUGCUAAGGCUACAGCUGCAGCUGGACUGGGCAAAGCCAAGGCUGCAGCAAUGGUAGGAGCACAGAAGAUCAAAAGCGGAACAUCAAGCGGCAUCAAAUGGGUAAAGAAUCAAUGCCAGAAGAAGGGUUCUUCCAAAUAAAUCAACCAGAUUGUUCAACUUCUAUUGCAUGAAAGAAGAGUAUGUUGUGAAUGACUUUGCUUUGUGUUAUGAUCUUCUCUUUUUCCAUUUUUCACCAGAUUCCCAUCAAGAAAAUGUCAAUUGUUUGUGCGCAAAAAAGAUUCAUCUGUUACCUAAUGAUUUUGUGCAUAUAAUAUGAGUCUAUCCGUCUACCUUA